CUGGGAAUGAAUUUGGUCACCUUGCCCUGGUACAUAUUUACAAAACUCAAGGAAGUGCCAUGGAAUUUGAUGCAGUUAUCAGUCUCACUUUAAAGGGGUACCAGAAUUGAAAUGAUAGAAAUCUCACCGACCAGGAUUGAGAUGUCAACAUUAAAGAAGCCUGGACUUUGAGAAGGCACCCAUGCUUAUGUAAAUUAUGGACAAAAUACUCUCCUAAGUUGUUUUGAGAGUGCCUGUUUUUCACUUAAUCAAGCAAAAACUAAUAAGGCAGCAAGGCUGACUUUCUAAAUUCUGCUAAAAUAAACUUACAGGAUUAAGAUAUACAGGUGUUCAGGCAGAGCAUCAUAAUAGCA